ensembl:lncRNA
AACUUCCUGUUGGGCGGAGCCUAUGACAUGCAGUACGAAAGUUGUUUGGCUUGAUGAGAUCUAUAUGUGUACCGAGUUUCAUACGUCUACGUGCAAGUAUGUAUGAUAUAUGGCCCUCCAUAUUCCAGGGGGCGCUGUAGAGCCCCUGUGCCACGCCCGUGUAUCAGUCUCUGCCCGGACCUAAUGGCCGCAGGUUCCAAUGUGUGUGCCAAUUUUCAAGAGUUUUCGAGUAUGUUAAGGGCCCCAAAAGCCCCCGAGACGUUGGAAAAAAAUAAUAAUAAUAAAUAUAGCUGCAAGCAGCGAUGGCGGGCUCAAGCCAUCAGCGCAAACGCCACCCCGGUGGCAUCAGGUAAACUGUGCCCAGCGGGCACAUGCAUUUACAGUAAUCCUCUGGCACUCAGGUUUUAAGGGAUACGGCAAUUAACGGGUUAAUCCGAAGCAUCAAG